UGGGGAAUAUUGCACAAUGGGGGAAACCCUGAUGCAGCAACGCCGCGUGAGUGAUGAAGGUUUUCGGAUCGUAAAGCUCUGUCUUUGGGGAAGAUAAUGACGGUACCCAAGGAGGAAGCCACGGCUAACUACGUGCCAGCAGCCGCGGUAAUACGUAGGUGGCGAGCGUUAUCCGGAAUUACUGGGCGUAAAGGGUGCGUAGGUGGUUUCUUAAGUCAGAGGUGAAAGGCUACGGCUCAACCGUAGUAAGCCUUUGAAACUGGGAAACUUGAGUGCAGGAGAGGAGAGUGGAAUUCCUAGUGUAGCGGUGAAAUGCGUAGAGAUUAGGAAGAACACCAGUGGCGAAGGCGACUCUCUGGACUGUAACUGACGCUGAGGCUCGAAAGCGUGGGGAGCAAACAGG
rnacentral:rRNA from 1 species